GACAGAGGGUGCAAACGUUGUUCGGAAUCACUGGGCGUAAAGCGCACGUAGGCGGAUCUUUAAGUCAGAGGUGAAAUCCCAAGGCUCAACCUUGGAACUGCCUUUGAUACUGGGGAUCUCGAGUCCGGGAGAGGUGAGUGGAACUGCGAGUGUAGAGGUGAAAUUCGUAGAUAUUCGCAAGAACACCAGUGGCGAAGGCGGCUCACUGGCCCGGUACUGACGCUGAGGUGCGAAAGCGUGGGGAGCAAACAGG
rnacentral:rRNA from 1 species